rnacentral:rRNA from 1 species
GAUGAACGCUGGCGGCGUGCUUAACACAUGCAAGUCGAACGAUGAAGCCCAGCUUGCUGGGUGGAUUAGUGGCGAACGGGUGAGUAACACGUGAGUAACCUGCCCUUAACUCUGGGAUAAGCCUGGGAAACUGGGUCUAAUACCGGAUAGGAGCGUCCACCGCAUGGUGGGUGUUGGAAAGAUUUAUCGGUUUUGGAUGGACUCGCGGCCUAUCAGCUUGUUGGUGAGGUAAUGGCUCACCAAGGCGACGACGGGUAGCCGGCCUGAGAGGGUGACCGGCCACACUGGGACUGAGACACGGCCCAGACUCCUACGGGAGGCAGCAGUGGGGAAUAUUGCACAAUGGGCGCAAGCCUGAUGCAGAGACGCCGCGUGAGGGAUGACGGCCUUCGGGUUGUAAACCUCUUUCAGUAGGGAAGAAGCGAAAGUGACGGUACCUGCAGAAGAAGCACCGGCUAACUACGUG